CCUCCCUCGGCCGCCGCCGCUCCCGCCGCGCUGCCGCCGCCCCGGGCGCCGUCCGUCCCCACAGCCGCUCCGCCGCUCGAGCGCGCCUCCGGUGACUGAGCCACCUGCCUGCCGCAGCCGGCGCGGGCUCAGGGGUGACCACGGCCGUCAGGGUCACCGUGCAGGUUCCCGCUCCGCUACAGUUUUGCAUUUCUCAUAACUAUUAAAAUGCUUCUUGUAAACUUUCUGAAUUAAAGCUUCGCUCCCAAACGUUCCCCAAGCCCAAGCACGCCAGAAGUAACGAAGUGCCCUUUGACAAAGAGCUAAUGCGUUUUGAAAUACAAAAUUUAGCACCCUUAAACUAAGUUAGCAUAAGUUAGUGAGGAGAUGCAAGCUUACACCAGAAGUGUUAAAAGCCGUGCCUGACAGUCUGCAGUUCCCACAUGCCACGUUGAAACUACAACAGCUUUUUCUGUCAUGCGGUGCCAGCAGCCAUAGGUGGUGGGUUUAAUAAAGCAUUUAAGGAAAUUUGGAUUUAGCUAGUAAAAAAUCCUCUGGAGAAAAGCUUUUCUUCCUGUGAAAAACUGACAAAAGAAUAUAUGAAAGGAAAAAUACUAUAGAAGUAGGAUGGGAUUAAUUGAAACUUAUGUAUUGCCAAUAGCUGGGAGGGUUUUGUUUCAGGUUUUCUAACAUGGAUUCUGAAUUUUAUCUGGAGAUACAUUUAUAAGACUCAUUAAGAGGUUUUACAUUUAGAAUCUGAAGAAGGGAGAGUCACAAUCCCACAGUAAAUUAGCCUGGUUUUAAUCAGAUCUAAAACUAUAUUUUCCUGCUUGAAACUGAUUUGGUAUCAUUAGGAAGUACCGCACAAAGACAAUAAAAUGCGGAGGGUCAGGCGAAGCAACCUCUCUGGAGGUCUGUAUUUGCUGUAGGUCUGCUUCCACAGCAGAUUUCCCCACUUGAACAGCUAAUAAAAUAUCCUCGCCAUCAGGAUGAGGUUUCUGAAUUUGUAUUUUGUAUACAUAGCUGUGUUCUUUCUGAUUCAUUUAGCCUCAUCAACAAAAUAAAGAUACUGAAUCAGAACAAGCUGGCAAUUUUGUUGAUGAAACAUGGGAGGGAGCGGACUCCAGCUGGCUCUUCAGCAGAUACGUUGGCCAGUUGACAGGAAUAAAACUGCAAGAAACCUGACACAGAAAACACACGCGGCGAGAGGAGACAGACAGCAGAGGCAGGCAGGAUGCCCAGCACAAGACACUUGGCCAUGUUGAACACCCAUAACUCUCCACAGAGGCUCUCGAUUCAGCAAGUAUCCAGUUUUUCUGACUCACGAUGUCCAAAAGGGCAUCUGAGAAUCAAAGUUCAUUUUUAAAGCUUUGCCCUGUAUUAAGAAAUGAAGCUUCACAACACUCAAGCAAACAGGUGGAAGAAUCUACUUUAUGGAAACAGAAACCAUUCAGCUUUUCAAAGACUGUUUGCCAUUACUAGACACAUAUGUAUGGAUUUUUUAAAACUGAAUUCAGUAUCAAAGGCACAUGUUCUACGCAAAUGUCAGACAUUUUUACUCAUUUUUCUACCAGAGUUCUGUGAUUAAAACAAACA